rnacentral:rRNA from 1 species
UGGGGAAUAUUGGACAAUGGGCGCAAGCCUGAUCCAGCCACGUCGCGUGAGUGAUGAAGGCCUUAGGGUUGUAAAGCUCUUUUGUCCGGGAAGAUAAUGACUGUACCGGAAGAAUAAGCCCCGGCUAACUUCGUGCCAGCAGCCGCGGUAAUACGAAGGGGGCUAGCGUUGCUCGGAAUCACUGGGCGUAAAGGGCGCGUAGGCGGACUUUUAAGUCGGGGGUGAAAGCCCAGGGCUCAACCCUGGAAUUGCCUUCGAUACUGGGAGUCUUGAGUUCGGAAGAGGUUGGUGGAACUGCGAGUGUAGAGGUGAAAUUCGUAGAUAUUCGCAAGAACACCGGUGGCGAAGGCGGCCGACUGGUCCGAAACUGACGCUGAGGCGCGAAAGCGGGGGGAGCAAACAGG